UGAGUCAGAGCAUUUCCAUAGAGAGCCACUUUGCAUCAGCAGCACCAUGCUCCAGUGCUCUGGGAGAGUUUAUAGUCCUGAGAGUUGAAGACUGGAUGACUGACAGCUGUCCUUCAUGACAACAGAAGACACAGAAAUCCUCCUCAUCAAAAACAUGACUUUGGUCUCCGUCCUCAUCUGGACUCUCCUCUGCUGCUGCUUCACAGAGUCCAGAGGACAGGUCACAGUGACUCAGCCUGGAGCAGUGAGCUCUGCUCUGGGAGGCUCUGUCACCAUCACAUGUAGGAUCAGUCAGAAUGUUAUUAAUUCUGACUCUGUGGAAUGGUACCAACAAAAGCAGGGGCACCCUAUUAAACUGAUGAUUUACUGGUCAAAUCGCAGAGCAUCAGGGAUUCCAGCUCGUUUUACAGGCAGUGGAAGAAAUACUGACUUCACCUUGACCAUCAGUGGAGUCCAGGCUGAAGAUGCAGCAGUUUACUACUGUAAUGGCCGACACGAUAUCAACAGCCAGUAUCUGUUCACACAGUGAAAAGGCGUCGUACAA